GAGAGAGGGAAAAUGGGAUCCAGUGGGCUGAUUAGACAAAGAGAGGAAAGGAUGUGGGUGCAAGAGGAGUAUGAGUUCAUCCAGGGACAGCAAACCCGUUAAAACAGCUCAGACACUUCCCUGGCAAACAACAGCUCUUCAGUGUCACUCUGUUUCAGCAACACUUAAAUCACCACCAGUCUCAGGGUCCAAGGAUAAAAACCUUUAAUAUAUGACAACAGGAGGCAAGCAAGGGGAAAUAAGGUGGCCGUUUUUCAGAUUUUGCUUUACUCUGAUUUCUCUCGACUUCCGUACAAAUUAGGUGCCAUUAUUGGGACGACAAACCUGGGCAUUUGCUCCAAAGGGGAGGGUCGGAUUUGGACGAGCUGUCUAAACAAACGCAACAAUGGUUUUUAUUGUCGCGCUGGCUCGAACUCACCCACACACCCCUGGCAGGGAGCACAGCUUUCAGUGGAACAGCCCGUCACUGUUUUUGGAUAGAGAGAUAAAGGAAAAGGAGGCUGACGGAGACAGAAAAAGGAUGGAAAAAGGGAAUGUUUUUCGCUUGUCCUUGAGUAUUUUCCAAGUGUGUUUUCUUUAAUACCACUCCAUAAUAGAUUUUCUUGGAGCUGUCCGUUCCCUUUUGCCUUUCAUAUGUGUGAACAAUGAAUAUUGGUGGCUGCCCAGCUAGUGAGGCACUCCCGUCUGGCACCAUAUGUCCAUCAUUGUGCUGGUGAAGUGGCUGUUUUAAGCGCUGCAUGGUUGGCAUUGGAAAGCCUCUGGUUGUUAGUGGUUAACCCAGCGUCCCACGGGACUCGCUGCUCACUCGUCAUCCUGCCAACCUCCCCGUGAAUUACAUGAAGUUUCCGGUGUCAAUGACGUAGGAGUGAUCAUUCAAAUAUGUAGAAUGACAUAUAUGAUCAAUGGUGAGAAAUUACUAUUUUCCAUGUUUUGAUAUUACCAGAAGGAAAAGACGUUGCUGAACAUGAUUUUGCUAAAACACAAAAAGUUCUUUCAAUGAUGAUAUUCUACAUUGAACCUGUAUUAAUACAGAGAGAAAUCCUAUUUCAAAUGGUACACAAUAAACAAACAUACUGCACAACCUAAAA